rnacentral:rRNA from 1 species
AUGGCGGGCGCAGUGAAGAUUGGUUCAUGGGGUCUACCCAGCGGAAAACUUUGCGACAUCAACAGCUACAGCAGCCCCCAACGCCUCAUCAGCAUCACCGUGUAUAGCAACGAAACCCCUGGAGGCUGCAUCGUUGGCUUCUCCUUCACCUACGUGGACCAGACCGGAGGGGCCAUCAACGUCGGCACAUGGGGCAACACCUGGGGAGGCGUCAAAACGAUUUAUAUGAACCAGGGGGAGCAUGUGAACGAUGUGAGCGGCACCUCCAACAGCAGAGGGGUGACCUCGCUCAAGAUAGUCACCAACCAGGGGGACCGCGGCACGUACGGGUGUCCGGCGGGCGACGCAUUCAGCGUGCCGCUGCGGCAGGGCAAGAACGAGGUGGUGGCCUUCUUCGGCCACUCCGACGACACCCUCAAGUCCCUGGGCGUCUACGUGCCGGGGGCCAAGGAGUGCCCCGUCAAGAUUGGCCCCUGGGGCGGCCACCUCGGCUCCUCCAGGGACCUCUACGCCAGCAACAUGCCGGUGCAGCUGCAGAGCAUCGCCGUCCGCAGCAGCGAGAGGUCCGGCGGCCGCGUCUUCGGCUUCUCCUACAACUACUUGGACAAGGCCGGCCAGCGCAUCAGCGUUGGCCCCUGGGGCUCCAGGACCAAAGGCCAGCAGCGCAACAUCGCCAUGAACGAGGACAACUACGUCACCUUCAUCAGCGGCACCUACGAUGACUACGGCGUCACCUCGCUCAAGUUCGAGUCCACCCAAGACGACUACGGCCCCUUCGGGUGCCCGGUGGGCACCGCCUUCAGCGUGCCUGUGCGGGAUACCGGGGCCAUCGUCGGCUUCUUCGGCCGCUCCAGCGCCGACGGCCUCGUCGGCUUCGGUGCCUAUGUCGUGCCGCUGGAUGACUAG